rnacentral:rRNA from 1 species
AGAGUUUGAUCCUGGCUCAGAACGUACGCUGGCGGCACGCCUAACACAUGCAAGUCGAACGAAGUAGCAAUACUUAGUGGCAAACGGGUGAGUAACAUGUGGGUAUCUGCCCUUCGGCCUGGAAUAACACGGGGAAACUUGUGCUAAUACCAGAUAAGUCUUUUAAGAGAAAGCUUUAUGCACCGAUGGAUGAGCCCGCACCUGAUUAGUUAGUUGGUGAGGUAAUAGCUCACCAAGACAAUGAUCAGUAGCUGAUUUGAGAGGAUGAUCAGCCACAUUGGGACUGAGACACGGCCCAAACUCCUACGGGAGGCAGCAGUGGGGAAUCUUGCACAAUGGGGGAAACCCUGAUGCAGCGAUGCCGCGUGAGUGAAGAAGGCCUUUGGGUUGUAAAGCUCUUUCGUCGGGGAAGAAAAUGACUGUACCCGAAUAAGAAGGUCCGGCUAACUUCGUGCCAGCAGCCGCGGUAAUACGAAGGGACCUAGCGUAGUUCGGAAUUACUGGGCUUAAAGAGCUCGUAGGUGGUUAAGAAAGUUGGUGGUGAAAUCCCAAGGCUUAACCUUGGAACUGCCACCAAAACUUUUUAACUAGAGUAUGAUAGAGGAAAGUGGAAUUUCUAGUGUAGAGGUGAAAUUCGUAGAUAUUAGAAAGAACACCGAUUGCGAAGGCAACUUUCUGGAUCAUUACUGACACUGAGGAGCGAAAGCAUGGGUAGCGAAGAGGAUUAGAUACCCUCGUAGUCCAUGCCGUAAACGAUGUGUGCUAGACGUUGGAAAUUUAUUUUUCAGUGUCGCAGCGAAAGCGUUAAGCACACCGCCUGGGGAGUACGACCGCAAGGUUAAAACUCAAAUGAAUUGACGGGGACCCGCACAAGUAGUGGAGCAUGUGGUUUAAUUCGAAGAUACGCGCAGAACCUUACCUGGUCUUGACAUCCUCGGACCGCUUCAGAGAUGAAGUUUCCUCUUCGGAGGCCGAGUGACAGGUGCUGCAUGGCUGUCGUCAGCUCGUGUCGUGAGAUGUUGGGUUAAGUCCCGCAACGAGCGCAACCCCUACCCUUAAUUGCCAUCGGGUUAUGCCGGGCACUUUAGGGGGACUGCCGGUGACAAGCCGGAGGAGGGUGGGGAUGACGUCAAGUCCUCAUGGCCUUUAUGACCAGGGCUACACACGUGUUACAAUGGGAGUUACAGAGGGAAGCUAAACCGCGAGGUCAUGCCAAUCCCAGAAAAACUUUCUCAGUUCGGAUCGCAGUCUGCAACUCGACUGCGUGAAGCUGGAAUCGCUAGUAAUCGCGGAUCAGCACGCCGCGGUGAAUACGUUCCCGGGCCUUGUACACACCGCCCGUCACACCAUGGGAGCCGACAAGGGCAGAAGUCGCCGAUCUAACCCAGCA